UACGUAGGUGGCGAGCGUUGUCCGGAAUUACUGGGUGUAAAGCGCGUGUAGGCGGGAGGCCAAGUCUGCGGUGAAAUCGCUCGGCUCAACUGGGCGGGGUCCGUGGAAACUGGUCACCUGGAGGACGGUAGAGGCGAGUGGAAUUCCCGGUGUAGUGGUGAAAUGCGUAGAUAUCUGGAGGAACACCGGUGGCGAAGGCGACAUCCUGGACCGGUAUUGACGCUGAGGCGCGAAAGCCAGGGGAGCAAACGGG
rnacentral:rRNA from 1 species